CUGAGGUAGGUUUUCUUUUGUUUUCCAUUCUAUUGCAUUUGAUUUCAGCGAGUCAACAUGGUAGCUCCUUCGUUACGAAAUGUCAAUUUUGGAUUUGACGGUAGCUUAUGAGAAAAUAUGUAAAUUAAAAAUCGGAAAUAUUUGGUUUGAGAAUUAACAUAUUUUUUCCAGCGGUUAUUAACGAAAUAAUCAAUGCAAGCUAAAUAUU
rnacentral:lncRNA from 1 species